CCCUCUUAUUCGAUAAGCAUGGCUGUUUCCCAUGGAGCAGGGUGGUGGGCAGCUCUGUGCAGAAGGGUUUGGAUUAUCCUUUAUUCCCACCUUGUGAGUUUUUGUUGUUGUUGUUUUGGUCUGUUGUUUUUGUUUUUUUUUUUCCUUAGGAGAAACUUUUGAAGGAGAGUAUUUGGUUUUGCAGUAUCAGAUCUGCAAAACCAGUGCUACCUUCUGCUGGUGAUCAGGCCCUUCAAGUGCACUUCUGUACAGCAGGCCACACUUUCUACCUUACAAGAACUGCAAGAAGUGUUCUGAGCAAAAAAAAAGCCCAAAAAACCCCCAUGUAUUAUUGUCCCUGAAGUGCCUGGUGAACAUCACCUUUCAGCUGGGCUUGGUGUUCAAACACAAGGGGCCUGCCCAAGAGUGGGUGACUGGUAAAGGCAAGACAAAACAAAGGAAGCAGAUCAUCCUUCCAUGUGUGCAGUGGAUUUUUGGUGAACUUCCAAGGAACAGUGCAGAAGAUGAUCAGAAUCCAAAAUCCCUGGAGACAAGUGGAGUGGGAAAUAGAAUGACAAGUGAGUCAAUGGCUUCCCUGUUGCCAGUAGCCCUUUACUGCAGGGGUGCACUCGUGUUUCUGGCUUUUCUGUCUUUCUCUGUUCCCUACCUGAAAUUCCUCUGUAAGCCUUGUCUGGAUGUGGUGUUCACAUGGAACUGUUUCAGAGAGAAGCAUUCCCUCACUGUCAUCUCCCUGGUAGCCAUCACAGUAUGUAAUGCCUUUCAUGCAAAUUCCAGCUUUUGUGUAAGAUGCAGUGAUUUGGU
rnacentral:lncRNA from 1 species